UUGCCGUUAUCUUUAAGUUUUCCAAAUAUAACUAGUUGCUACUCUGAUACCGCCGCCGAUUGCUCUGAAGUCUGAAUCAACAUGACCGAAGAGAGAAUCGUGUUAACGAAUGCUCACGAAGAGAAGCUAAUCGGAAUCUUACAGAAAACAGAGUCCGAUGACGUUACCAUCAUAUGCCAUGGUUUCCGUUUUUCCAAGGAGAGCAAACCCACCGUCGACAUCUCCGACGCUCUACUGAAAGCAGGGAUCUCCACUUUCCGAUUCGAUUUCUCCGGAAACGGAGAGAGCGAGGGUGAAU
rnacentral:lncRNA from 1 species